GGCUGGUCCAAUGGUAGUGGGUUAUCAGAAAUUACUAACAGUGUCACUCAAGUUGGUAUACAACCCCCACUACUAAAUUGGCUUAAA
rnacentral:Y_RNA from 1 species